rnacentral:rRNA from 1 species
UACGUAGGGAGCAAGCGUUGUCCGGAAUCAUUGGGCGUAAAGCGCGCGUAGGUGGCCAUGUAAGUCCGCUGUGAAAGUCAACGGCUCAACUGUUGGAUGCCGGUGGAUACUGUCGGGCUAGAGUACGGAAGAGGCAAGUGGAAUUCCUGGUGUAGCGGUGGAAUGCGCAGAUAUCAGGAGGAACACCUAUAGCGAAGGCAGCUUGCUGGGACGUUACUGACGCUAAGGCGCGAAAGCGUGGGGAGCGAACAGG